GACGAACCGAGCGAACGUUGUUCGGAAUCACUGGGCUUAAAGGGCGCGUAGGCGGGCCGCCAAGUCCGUGGUGAAAUCCCCCGGCGCAACCGGGGAAGUGCCUCGGAUACUGGCGGCCUCGAGGGGGGUAGGGGCGUGCGGAACUUCCGGUGGAGCGGUGAAAUGCGUAGAUAUCGGAAGGAACACCGGUGGCGAAAGCGGCGCGCUGGACCCCAUCUGACGCUGAGGCGCGAAAGCCAGGGGAGCAAACGGG
rnacentral:rRNA from 1 species